CCCUUAGAUGUUCUGGGCUGCACGCGCGCGACAAUGACGUUUGCAACGAGAUUGCGAGGCCGUCAGGUCGAGCUGAUCUUGCAAGCUGCGUCGUGAUAGGGACAGUCGAUUGCAAUUAUUCGACUCGAACGAGGAAUUCCUUGUAAUCGCGCAUCAUCAGUGCGCGCUGAAUACGUCCCUGCCCUUUGUACACACCGCCCGUCGCUACUACCGAUUGAAUGGCUUAGUGAGGCCUCAGGAUCCGCGCUUAAUGUGUGGAGAAUUUGGACAAACUACGUCAUUUAGAGGAAGUAAAAGUCGUAACA
rnacentral:rRNA from 1 species